rnacentral:rRNA from 1 species
UACGAAGGGGGCUAGCGUUGUUCGGAAUUACUGGGCGUAAAGCGUGCGCAGGCGGCUUCUCAAGUCAGGGGUGAAAGCCCAGAGCUCAACUCUGGAAUUGCCUUUGAGACUGAGUGGCUUGAGUACGAGAGAGGUGAGUGGAAUUCCCAGUGUAGAGGUGAAACUCGUAGAUAUUGGGAAGAACACCGGUGGCGAAGGCGGCUCACUGGCUCGUAACUGACGCUCAUGCACGACAGCGUGGGGAUCAAACAGG